CCUACGGGAGGCAGCAGUGGGGAAUCUUGCGCAAUGGGCGAAAGCCUGACGCAGCAACGCCGCGUGCGGGAAGAAGGCUUUCGGGCUGUAAACCGCUUUCAGCAGGAACGAAAAUGACGGUACCUGCAGAAGAAGGAGCGGCCAACUAUGUGCCAGCAGCCGCGGUGAUACAUAGGCUUCAAGCGUUGUCCGGAUUUAUUGGGCGUAAAGAGUUCGUAGGCGGUCGAGUAAGUCGGGUGUGAAAAUUCUGGGCUCAACCCAGAGACGCCACCCGAUACUGCUUGACUUGAGUUCGAUAGGGGAGUGGGGAAUUCCUAGUGUAGCGGUGAAAUGCGCAGAUAUUAGGAGGAACACCGGUGGCGAAGGCGCCACUCUGGAUCGAUACUGACGCUGAGGAACGAAAGCAUGGGUAGCAAACAGGAUUAGAUACCCUGGUAGUCCAUGCCGUAAACGGUGGGCACUAGGUGUGGGUUUCUAUUAACGAAAUCCGCGCCGUCGCUAACGCAUUAAGUGCCCCGCCUGGGGAGUACGGUCGCAAGACUAAAACUCAAAUNAUAGAGNGNGAGAGNGCGACGACGACACGAGGAGAG
rnacentral:rRNA from 1 species